rnacentral:tRNA from 1 species
GCUUUCGUGGUAGCAUAUUCGGCUUGUAUUCGAAAGAUCCAGGUUCAAGUCCCGGCGAGGGCA